GACGAACGCUGGCGGCGUGCUUAACACAUGCAAGUCGAACGGAAAGGCCCUGCUUUUGUGGGGUGCUCGAGUGGCGAACGGGUGAGUAACACGUGAGUAACCUGCCCCUGACUUUGGGAUAACUUCAGGAAACUGGGGCUAAUACCGGAUAGGAGCUCCUGCUGCAUGGUGGGGGUUGGAAAGUUUCGGCGGUUGGGGAUGGACUCGCGGCUUAUCAGCUUGUUGGUGGGGUAGUGGCUUACCAAGGCUUUGACGGGUAGCCGGCCUGAGAGGGUGACCGGCCGCAUUGGGACUGAGAUACGGCCCAGACUCCUACGGGAGGCAGCAGUGGGGAAUAUUGCACAAUGGGCGGAAGCCUGAUGCAGCAACGCCGCGUGCGGGAUGACGGCCUUCGGGUUGUAAACCGCUUUCGCCUGUGACGAAGCGUGAGUGACGGUAAUGGGUAAAGAAGCACCGGCUAACUACGUG
rnacentral:rRNA from 1 species